CAGUGUUUAUAUAGGGCAAUGAGAGGUUAGCCUGGGGAGCAGGACAGAGAACUAUGUAGUGAGGUUAGGCUGGGGAGCAGGACAGAGGACUAUGUAGUGAGUUUAGGCUGGGGAGCAGGACAGAGAACUAUGUAGUGAGGUUAGGCUGGGGAGCAGGACAGAGAACUAUGUAGUGAGAGGUUAGGCUGGGGAGCAGGACAGAGGACUAUGUAGUGAGAGGUUAGCCUGGGGAGCAGGACAGAGAACUAUGUAGUGAGAGGUUAGGCUGGGGAGCAGGACAGAGAACUAUGUAGUGAGAGGUUAGGCUGGGGAGCAGGACAGAGAACUAUGUAGUGAGAGGUUAGCCUGGGGAGCAGGACAGAGGACUAUGUAGUGAGAGGUUAGGCUGGGGAGCAGGACAGAGAACUAUGUAGUGAGAGGUUAGGCUGGGGAGCAGGACAGAGAACUAUGUAGUGAGAGGUUAGGCUGGGGAGCAGGACAGAGGAGUGUGUAGUGAAGUUAGGCUGGGGAGCAGGACAGAGGAGUGUGUAGUGAAGUUAGGCUGGGGAGCAGGACAGAGGAGUGUGUAGUGAAGUUAGGACGGGGAGCAGGACAGAGGAGUGUGUAGUGAAGUUAGGACGGGGAGCAGGACAGAGGAGUGUGUAGUGAAGUUAGGACGGGGAGCAGGACAGAGGAGUGUGUAGUGAAGUUAGGACGGGGAGCAGGACAGAGGAGUGUGUAGUGAAGUUAGGACGGGGAGCAGGACAGAGGAGUGUGUAGUGAAGUUAGGACGGGGAGCAGGACAGAGGAGUGUGUAGUGAAGUUAGGACGGGGAGCAGGACAGAGGAGUGUGUAGUGAAGUUAGGACGGGGAGCAGGACAGAGGAGUGUGUAGUGAAGUUAGGCUGGGGAGCAGGACAGAGGAGUGUGUAGUGAAGUUAGGACGGGGAGCAGGACAGAGGAGUGUGUAGUGAAGUUAGGACGGGGAGCAGGACAGAGGAGUGUGUAGUGAAGUUAGGACGGGGAGCAGGACAGAGGAGUGUGUAGUGAAGUUAGGACGGGGAGCAGGACAGAGGAGUGUGUAGUGAAGUUAGGACGGGGAGCAGGACAGAGGAGUGUGUAGUGAAGUUAGGACGGGGAGCAGGACAGAGGAGUGUGUAGUGAAGUUAGGACGGGGAGCAGGACAGAGGAGUGUGUAGUGAAGUUAGGACGGGGAGCAGGACAGAGGAGUGUGUAGUGAAGUUAGGACGGGGAGCAGGACAGAGGAGUGUGUAGUGAAGUUAGGACGGGGAGCAGGACAGAGGAGUGUGUAGUGAAGUUAGGACGGGGAGCAGGACAGAGGAGUGUGUAGUGAAGUUAGGACGGGGAGCAGGACAGAGGAGUGUGUAGUGAAGUUAGGACGGGGAGCAGGACAGAGGAGUGUGUAGUGAAGUUAGGACGGGGAGCAGGACAGAGGAGUGUGUAGUGAAGUUAGGCUGGGGAGCAGGACAGAGGAGUGUGUAGUGAAGUUAGGACGGGGAGCAGGACAGAGGAGUGUGUAGUGAAGUUAGGACGGGGAGCAGGACAGAGGAGUGUGUAGUGAAGUUAGGACGGGGAGCAGGACAGAGGAGUGUGUA